rnacentral:tRNA from 1 species
GAGGUGUUAGUAAAACAAUUACCCUGCUUUGUCAUAACAGAAUUAUAAGAUAAAUACUUGUACACUUUA